AUCCUUUUAUCCCUAAAAGAAGUAAUUUUUCUUUCUUUCCCGUGGUUAAUUAUCACGCAGCUUCAAUAUUUCAAACUAAAUAUUGCUCUUUUUUUCAAACGAAAAUUCAAAUCUUAACAGUUAUGAAUCCUAACGGCCAAAAUUAAAUUUAAAUAUAUCCUUAAAUUUAUAUAGUUCAUCUUCACUUAAAAUAAUCAUUAGUGCGAAUAUAUCACCGAGCGCAUAUCAGCUGAUCGAUUGCAUUUUCAGAGGUCAAGGAAACAGUGCAUUCAGUAUCCUCGUAGUCGCCAAGCGCAUCGCAUGUUUUCCUUAUCGGUAAUCGAUCAGAGCAAUCCUAUUGUGCGCGUGAAUAUCGCCCGGUUAUAACUUUGCAUCUUAUUUAUUAUGUCUACGGAGCGGUUUGAAGUAGAAUCGAAGAUCCCCAAGAGCAAUGAGCGUAUGGAUUUCGACAAUCAUUACUUCGCCAUUCUGGCCAGCGCUCGGGAAUUACUUUGCAAGCGUGGCAAAGUGGAUGCGGAAAGUAAGGUUAUGUCUGAGGCGGGUUCCGGUUCGUGCCAGCAUAUAAAUAAUCUGCUUUGGUGAGAGUCAGCGAUGCCAAGGGCACUCUGCACGUCGUCCGGAUACUGGACAACUGCAGCUCGACCAACUUCAUCAGCGAGAGGCUGCGCAGUAAGCUGCAGCUACCGGUUUCCUAUAAGGGCUCCACAGUGACAGAAUCCUGUGGCAGAGAAGAUCAACACACUGCAGACUGCCGCGGUAUCGACGCGUGGAGUAGCUCAGACUUCAUUUUUAAAACAGAUAUUGAAUGAAAAGGGUAUUAGUUUAAGACCAUCACCCAGUGUAAGUCGUGGCGCAAAGCUAUCAAAAGCUGAAGUCCGCCUAACUAAAAUAAUUGCUAGCUUGCGAAUUCACAUUGAAAGGGUAAUAAGGCAAUUAAGAGAAUUUCAUAUGCUUAAGCAACAUUCAGUGAUAAACACUAAUACUCUUCGGCUACUAGAUCAUGCCGUUAUUAUUGCAUGUGGUCUUAUUAAUUUGCAGGAUUCACUUAUAAGAUAAUGUUAACUUGUAAAUAAAAACAAAAUAUUCAGAA